rnacentral:rRNA from 1 species
UGGAAGAACACCAGUGGCGAAGGCGGCUGUCUGGUCUGUAACUGACGCUGAGGCUCGAAAGCAUGGGUAGCGAACAGGAUUAGAUACCCUGGUAGUCCAUGCCGUAAACGAUGAAUGCUAGGUGUUGGAGGGUUUCCGCCCUUCAGUGCCGCAGCUAACGCAUUAAGCAUUCCGCCUGGGGAGUACGACCGCAAGGUUGAAACUCAAAGGAAUUGACGGGGGCCCGCACAAGCGGUGGAGCAUGUGGUUUAAUUCGAAGCAACGCGAAGAACCUUACCAGGUCUUGACAUCUUUUGAUCACCUGAGAGAUCAGGUUUCCCCUUCGGGGGCAAAAUGACAGGUGGUGCAUGGUUGUCGUCAGCUCGUGUCGUGAGAUGUUGGGUUAAGUCCCGCAACGAGCGCAACCCUUAUGACUAGUUGCCAGCAUUUAGUUGGGCACUCUAGUAAGACUGCCGGUGACAAACCGGAGGAAGGUGGGGAUGACGUCAAAUCAUCAUGCCCCUUAUGACCUGGGCUACACACGUGCUACAAUGGAUGGUACAACGAGUUGCGAGACCGCGAGGUCAAGCUAAUCUCUUAAAGCCAUUCUCAGUUCGGACUGUAGGCUGCAACUCGCCUACACGAAGUCGGAAUCGCUAGUAAUCGCGGAUCAGCACGCCGCGGUGAAUACGUUCCCGGGCCUUGUACACACCGCCCGUCACACCAUGAGAGUUUGUAACACCCGAAGCCGG